GACAGAGGGUGCAAACGUGUUCGGAAUUACUGGGCGUAAAGCGAGUGUAGGCGGUUCGAUAAGUCGGAUGUGAAGCCCGGGCUCAACCCGGGAAGUGCACUCGAUACUGCGUAGCUUGAGUCUCGGAGAGGUUGGUGGAAUUCUCGGUGUAGAGGUGAAAUUCGUAGAUAUCGAGAGGAACACCGGUGGCGAAGGCGGCCAACUGGACGAAGACUGACGUGGAGAACACGAAAGCGUGGGGAGCAAACAGG
rnacentral:rRNA from 1 species